rnacentral:rRNA from 1 species
UACGUAGGGUGCGAGCGUUGUCCGGAAUCAUUGGGCGUAAAGCGCGCGUAGGUGGCCACAUAAGUCCGUUGUGAAAGUCAAAGGCUCAACCUUUGAAAGCCGAUGGAUACUGUGUGGCUAGAGUACGGAAGAGGCGAGUGGAAUUCCUGGUGUAGCGGUGGAAUGCGCAGAUAUCAGGAGGAACACCAAUAGCGAAGGCGGCCUGCUGGGCAGUGGCUGACGCUGAGGCGCGACAGCGUGGGGAGCAAACAGG